GACGAACGCUGGCGGCGUGCUUAACACAUGCAAGUCGAGCGGUAAGGCCCUUUCGGGGGUACACGAGCGGCGAACGGGUGAGUAACACGUGGGUGACCUGCCCUCAGCUCUGGGAUAAGCCUGGGAAACCGGGUCUAAUACCGGAUAUGACUCCAUGACGCAUGUUGUGGGGUGGAAAGCCUUGUGCGGCUGAGGAUGGGCCCGCGGCCUAUCAGCUUGUUGGUGGGGUGAUGGCCUACCAAGGCGACGACGGGUAGCCGGCCUGCGAGGGCGACCGGCCACACUGGGACUGAGACACGGCCCAGACUCCUACGGGAGGCAGCAGUGGGGAAUCUUGCGCAAUGGGCGAAAGCCUGACGCAGCGACGCCGCGUGAGGGAUGACGGCCUC
rnacentral:rRNA from 1 species